AAUUAACGGUCAUUCUUCUAAAGUUCAGAGGCAGGCCGGAUUCAGGAAUAAGUAACUGUGCAUGCUAAAUGGUGAGAUACUGUUGUGUUCCUGACUGCCGCUCUAAUGGACCCGGCUCUCCUCCUGUCUCCACCUUUCAAUUCCCCAAAAACGAGCAGCUGAGAAACAAGUGGCUACACUACAUCUGGAGAGAAGAUCUACACGAUGUACUCGUGUCAUCCCAAUGCCAGCCUUGUUUCUAAGUCAGGUCAUUGGUGGCAGCCUAGUUUAUAAGACAAUUUUCCCAAUCAAGAAUAUCUUUGCCAUAUUCAGGUAAGUAGAGUUGUCUUAACAAUUCUUGAAA
rnacentral:lncRNA from 1 species